GCGGCCACUGUACCUGUCUCGUCUACGCCAUCGAAAUCCACGCCCCCUGGCCAGCCUCCAGCCCCCGCCGCGGCCACUGUGCGGAUGAACCCAGCGCACGCGGCUCGCGGGGGGUUUCGGCGCACACUUGGAAUUUCGUGGUCCACCGCGGCGAGACCGGAGGGCGCGGGAGGUACGGCGCGCGGCCGUCGGCUCUUCCAAUGCGGCCGCGCAGGCCGGAGCGCGCGAGGCAACCGCAGGUCGGUGGCAAGCGGCGGCGGCGGCGGAACAGCUUCUUCAGGUCACCUCUUGAUUCCUGCCUGGAAUGAAAAUGACGGCAGGGGCUCUGUAUCCUAAACUGGCCAGAAACGAGUUGAAACGCUAAUCCAAACGGGGCCUAACAGUGUGACGAUCUAACUUUCGAUAAAACAAGCUGCUCUCAUUCGCUAGUGAUGUUUCAAGACAAAUCAUGAAACUGCAAGCAUUGGUUUUCAUUCUACAUUACAUCAGACAUCAUCAGAUGUAAUUCGGAAUAGCACUGCCUUGCUGUCUCGGCUUCUGUGGAAGUGCCCCAAUGAAGUGGACUUCUUUGCAGGUUUUAUUACAGUAUGUUGCAAUCUUCCAUAAUAUUCUGAGGUGCCAAUAUUAUUAUGAUACAUUGUUUUAUAUUUUUAUUAUAUAUACACUUUGGCGCAGUGGUAAAGCUGCUGCCUUGGAAACAGCCUCUUACAGAAAUGUAGGGAAAGGCUGCGUACUAUAGACCCAAAGUGGUCGGACCCUUCCCCGGACCCUGCGCAAGCGGGCGCUACAUGCACCGGGCUGCCCUUUAUUAUAUAUACACUUUGAAUGAGUGCUUCCACAGGAUCAUUUAAUAUAUCAAUAGCUAUAUGUCCCCAAUAUUUGAUGUUAGCAAACAUUUCAUAUGGGCACUGUAUCAGAGUAAAUAUAGGUAUACAUUUGUGAGAGGAACGAAAAAUCCAGUUUAUGUUAUUAUACAGAUUCAUGUCAUUGGUCCGCAAUUACAUGUCAUGGGCUGAAAAAUGGAAUUAUUAUCUGAGCACACAUUAUACAGGGAAUGCAAAGAGGUACUGGUGAUCUGCCCUAGAUAUGACCACCAAAAUAUCACUUGAUUCUCCUUCAUAGCUGUACCACUUAUUUUAUAAAUGAGCAUCCAUAAACUGUGUCUCCUGAGCCGUCCUUUUCUGAUUCUGUGAAAAAGAGAUACAUGUGCAUUUGGUCAAGUAUUAUCUAUUAAUGCAUAUCAUAUUAACCAAAAGGCACUAUAAAUUGAGCUGAACUUUUAUAUUUGUUAUGUACUCCCUCCGCUCGAAAAUAAGAACUAAAACCAUGAUAUUUAUUUUGGAAUGGAGGGAGUAGUAGUUACUUUAUUUUCCUGUGCUUAAAUGAUGGAAUGUGAUUAUUUUUCAUCGUCCAUUUAUUUAUUGACUAUACAUGAAACUUGCUUGUACAUCAUUCUUCUUGGACAGACUCUUGAGAUCUUACACUGAUAUCCUGUGUACUAUGAGUUGACAAAUCAUGCAUCACACCUUGUAUAGAAUGUUUUUUUUCCAAAAUAAGUUUUUCAAUUGAUAAUGCUAUAUAAGUUCUUCAUAGUUGAAAAAAAAGUAAAAACAUAAAAGUUCUUUCGAGCAUUAACAAUCAAGCUCUUUCAUACUAUGUGGUUUAUAGUUUCGUUCUCAUAUGUUUUAUUCUUUGAUUAAUUAAGCGGGUUGUAUUCUCCGGCUUCAUUAAUGAAGGCCAAUUUAUUCUCAUCUAAUAUUAUGUAUUUAUAUGUGUGCUCUCAGUGAUGGAUAGUUUGGUGAUAUCGUGCCUGUAUCCAGAUGAUAUGCACUCUCAUUUUAACUGCAAUCAGAUUUUUUAACUGUCAUAUAAUCUCUGACAGAUCUGCAAUCACCAAGGUACCCACAGAAAUAUCUAUCUACGUACUAUCUAACUGAUCAUGCUGGAGUGGAGCUGCUGCUGGCAUACUUUAGCUUAUUUACAUACUUUCUGAGUCAAAAGGUUCGCUGUUUAUUAUCUGCUAUUUUGUCUUUCUAAACUGGCGAUGAUCAAUGCUGAAAAUACUUUACGAGUCUGUAUACAUAUUGCAAGUCAACAGCAUUCAGCUCAUUUUUACUGGCACCACAUGGAGUUUAUGUUUAGCGAUAUUCCUUGCACACAUGCAUAAAUUUGUUUCAAGUCUGACAGUAGCAGCUGGAGCGCCAAAGUCAUUCGCAGCGAGCCCCUGCCACCCGCCACCGUUGCCUGGAAAAUUGCCGCCUAUGUUCUCCUGUGGUGCUGCUGAUGCUCCUGCUCUAUGUGUAAGUCAAUUUUGGCAUGGAUCCAGAAUUUAUCCACGUCGCUGUUAUGAUGGCAGGUGUUUCAUCUUUCUGCUUUGGACUAGGGCUUCUAAAUUUGGCUGAGAUCAGCUCGUAGUGCCUCUCUUUGAACCUCUCCUCUGCGACUCUGCAAAAAAUGGUCUGCUAUCUCCCCUGGCUAAAUAGAAAAUAUUCAGGAAAAGACGUGCUUCUGGCUUUGGCAUGCUGUGAAAAAUACUAUUAUGCACCCAAUGAAUGGGUACUGUUGGUUUGCUAUCCAAAUUUUGACAAUAUCAAGACUGGCCAAAAUUGGCACCUUUUUGUGAGGUUGGCAGAAUUUUUUUUGGCAAUCAACCAAUCACUAGCCAAUAUUUGGCAAGCUUGUAACCAACCAAUCACUAGCCAAAUAAAUAUUGGCAUGGGGGGUAUCGCGUGUGUUAAGGGAUUUGGCCUGCUUUAAACAAACACGUACAGAGUUUGUACUAGAAGCUUAAUAGGCACCUCUAGUGGUCAUGAAAGAACCAAAAAGAUUUAGACAACAUUGGCACAUGAUGCAUAUGCCUUACCAGAAAAUUUAGAAUCCAAACUCGAUCAAUACACCAAGAAAUAAGAAAAGACAACCCCACUAUGAGUAGUACCCGGAAGCCACUAUUCACAGUAAAAUUGAAUUCACUACUAUUUCUGACUUGAUUUGGUCUUGAAAUUUCUUGCUGCGGUAGACACCUGACAUGCCAGUGUUGUAAAAAAUUGCAGAACUUUUCAUGACAAUUGGAGAUGGUUAAGUGUGUCUUAUUGCACUAGCACAUCUCAUGUGCCUAGAGCACGCAAUAUCCCCUUGUUCAGUCGUAUACUUCAGAAAUAUAUCUUUCUUGCUCCUAUUCUAUCCCUUUAUAUGGCAGGAGUAGAUUUAUAAAUUGUGACUAUCAAAUAGGUUUGAAAUUGAAUACAGUGUCUUUCUUAGUUCAAUAUAAUCUGAAACUUGUACUUACUAUAUUUAUUCUCUUUAUAUUCCAUUUGGUGUUCAGAGUAAAGACUAGUUAUUCCUUGCAUUCUUAGUGCGAAAUUUCUUUGUGGGUACUAAUACUGGAGUUCUCUUAAAAUCAUAUACGCCGCAAUGAUGUGGUCAGUGUCGAGUCAUACUCCCUCUGUUCCAAGUUACUUGAAGUUUUAGCUUUGUCCUAAGUCAAGCUUUUUAAACUUUGAACAAGUAUAUAAAAAAUAUGCUAAUAUCUACAACAUAAAAAUGUAUAUUGUAUGAAAACAUAAUUUAUGAAAAAUCUAAUGAAACUAAUUUGGUAUUGUAAAUUUGAUAUAUCUUUUUGCAGACUUAAAGAUGUUUUGACAUAGCAAAGCUAGAACUUCAAAUAAUUUGGAACAGAGGGAGUACUUGUCAAGCAUUAAUGUUUGUUCUCUUUCGAGAAAACUGAUAUUUUUGAUAUUGAUCUGCAUUUGGUAGCCCUUGUAUAAUACUAAUUUUGGUUUCAUGAAAUGACCGAAGCUUCAUUUGUGACAUGUCUUGCAAACAAAUCCUGAUUUAGUUUUCUGACAUUAACAGAGUGAUCUCUUUUGUUGUUGGUUCAUGAUGACACAUGCAUCUGGGCAUCUUAUUACAGCUACCGACUUCCUGUGUGACUUCUUCUUAUGUAAAAGACAAAAUCACAUCUAAAUAAUGUGCCAUCUGUUCUAUCUGUAUAUUCAAGCACUUUCAGACUCAUGCAAUACUUGUCAUGGAGGGCUGUGGAUUUGUUGUGACCAUGUGUUCUAGACUUUCUAGACGACAAUAUCAGUGUUAGCAUGAAGCCCAUAUAUUGGAGUCCAAUAAAACCAUGUUCCAUCAUCUAUCAACCAUUCAACUUUGAGGUAAUGAAGGAUGCUCAUUGUGGAACGUGUUUUGCUUCGAAUACAAAACGUAAUUCUCAUGUCACAAUUAAAACAGUUGAUGCUGAAAAGUUUCAUCAUUUUUAUUAUGAUUUUCUUUGAAUAAAAGUUAGAUAUAGAGCCUUACUAGUUACUCCGCAUUGUUCCCUUCAGAAAGCUGCAUCAGUAAUUAACUCAUUAUUAUGGUUUAUCGAUGCUGAGAAUUCACCCAUGAUACCUUGCAUCGGGAAAAUGUUUUAGUUUUUGUGCUAAUAAUGAGGUAAAGCUCUCGUUAACAUCGUCACCUUUGGGCUUUUAGCCAAUAAAGUAAAGUGCCCUAUUCAAAGGGCAUGAACAGGACAACACUGAUUACUUGAGGAAAGAAGUUGUCCAUUCUUUUUUGUAUCGAAAAGGGAAUGCGGUGCUUUCGUAACAUGGUUACAUUGCUGAUGCACCUCCUGGUUCCUGUCCUACAUGAUUAAAGAUUUUCUUUUGUGUAUACAUAAUCUUUGAGGUACAAUACUGCAAGUACAAUUUCCGCCGUCAUGUGAGAGCCUUGAGGAAUCUUUUGUCACACAGUGCGUUCUGUACAUCCUUCGGACUUUCAUUUUGGUCAAGGGGUACCACAAGAAAGCCAAUCUCUUAUCUUAAAAAAAAUCAUGGAUUAGCAUAAAAUAAUGGCAAAGGAAUGAUGAUAUCGUCUGAUAUAUACAUAUGGAAUGUACAGAUCUGAUGUCAAGUGGAGGUUGAACUCGUAUCCAAGCCUUUUGUACUUAUGUUUUUUAUUCAUGCAUUUCCAUUGCAGAUAGAACAGUAAUAAGAUAUUCUUUUUACUUCCCAUAUAUACAUAUAUAGACUGGAAUUCUUUUAUGUCUUGAGUAGAGAUUGAACUAGCUUGAGAUGCUAAGAGCUGGCUAGCUAGAGAUGCAUACCUUUUAUGCUUUGCAUACUUAUUCAUGUAUUUCCAUGAUGGGAGUUGACACAAAUGCAGGCAUUAGAGUUUUAUCAACAAUGCUUGAGGGCCAAACACCAGAAGAAGAGAACUAGGUGUAGCCAAGGACAACUUGCCGGCUAACUCUUAAGGCUCAACGAACUCCCAACACCAGGAGCCGGCAAGUCAUCCUUGGCUGCAUCCCGUUCUCUGCCUCGUAGCGUAUGGCAGCCCAGCAGAAGCCUCCCCAGUAUAUGCUCUACAGGUACUUCUGGGCUCUUGCCCGUUCUUCCUCUUCCCCUACCCUGACUGCUUUGCUAUCAUGUGGAAUGGUCUGCUGGUGUGCAUUGCCGCAGGGUGGGAUGGUCUUCAUUUAUAGGCACGAGCAAGUUGGAUGUGAAAUAAUAUGGAGAUAGCUGCCCAAUGAGUUAUAUACUGCAAAAUAUUUCACCACAAAGUCUUCCGUUUUGGGGAUGAGACAUGAUGAGUCACCAAUUGGUUAUCCUGGGUCCGAUGUCCAUUUUAAAUAAGCAUAGUGGCCCAUGGCCAUGAGGGUUCGGCAUCUUUUGGAUUGGUUGGUUGAGAGGAUUAGCAUUUGAUCUGUGCUGCAUGUGGAGCUUGUGGACAUGCGGUGGACGUGGUGCGCAACUCUUGACCUAAGCAAAUUUUAUAGAGUUCUUUGUAGUCCAUUCCCAAACAUUUUAGAAUUACAAAAGCUUGUCAAGUACUACCUCUAGUAUUGGACAAUUAUAAACCCAUGGAUAGUAAACAUUCUCCCUUCGUUCUAUUAAAAGGCAUCCUCAAUAUAUGCUAGUAGGACCAUUUUCACCAUGAUUUUGUUUACUAUAUUGAGAAUUUUAAUGUUCAACUAACAACCAAAUUCUGAAAAAAAAAUGGUAUGCAGUGAUCUUCAGUUUGAUUCUUGGAAGGACCAGCCUAGCUGUCCUUGUAAAAAGGUAGGUUAAAACUUAUUUUGCAGACAUGCAUGUGCCUCUUAGGACUGAAAGUAGACUGGAGCAUUUUGCCCAUCCUGCAUAAGAAUCUGGUAAUCACUCUAGAAAAAUAUGUUGUACUCCGUUCCUAAAUAUAAGCCCUUUUAAAGAUUCUAUAAUAUGGACCACAUACGAAACAAAAUGAGUGAAUCUACACUCUAAAAUACAUAUGCCGGUGUGUCCUGUUUUUUUAUUUUCUGGGCUUGUUGAGUUGUGCCCUCAGCAGAUCCUCUGUACUUUGUUGUGAGACCUGGGUGUGUGUAUGGACUUGACUCUGUAUGUGUGCUCGUUGGCGGUUUAAUUUAUUUAUAAAGCAGGGUGAUAGCCUUUUUCAGUAAAUACAUACGUAUGUAGUCCGUUUUAAAAUCUCUAGAAGGGCUUAUAUUUAGAAACGGACGGAAUAUGAAACAGUUGCAUGCUUCUAUUGGUUACAUCAAUUUUCUAAUUAGAAAUGUUUGCUCUUAAUUUAUGUUAAAAACUGUUAGAGAUAUAUUUGGGUUACUUGUAUUUGGUAGUCUAGGAUUUGUAAUCCUUCUCCUACCUUAUCUUCAGGAGAGGCUUCUUGCCCUUCAAGUUUUGUAUUCAAUAUAUACUCGCCCUCGAGGCUCAAUAAUACAUGCAUCAUAUUCCGCCAAUCCCUCUCUCCCUUGUAACAAAAACUUUCAAUUCUCACAAAAAUCUUUGGGAAUUUUUGCGGUAAUUUAUGCAAUCUUGCGUGAUGGCAACAUAUUGUCUUGUGAUACUUUUGCAAAUCGUGUAGCAAAUCUCACAUAUGUACUUGCCAUAAUUGUUGGUGUACUCAAAGGCUAGGGGGUGUCGAGUAUAGAUGUAUCAAAUCAAAACCUAGCAAGCGAUCAAAGGUUAGUGAGUCCUACGAUUAUAGCCGAUCUUAAGACAUUAAGACAUCAUAGCAAUUCCACGGUCAGUGUUUGCUGUGGCCAACAUUUCAGUCACACCAGGGACAUUGUGUCCCCAAUCAAUCGAUCCUGCAAGCUAC